rnacentral:rRNA from 1 species
GCUUAACACAUGCAAGUCGAGCGGUAGCACAGGGGAGCUUGCUCUCUGGGUGACGAGCGGCGGACGGGUGAGUAAUGUCUGGGAAACUGCCUGAUGGAGGGGGAUAACUACUGGAAACGGUAGCUAAUACCGCAUAACGUCGCAAGACCAAAGAGGGGGACCUUCGGGCCUCUUGCCAUCAGAUGUGCCCAGAUGGGAUUAGCUAGUAGGUGGGGUAAUGGCUCACCUAGGCGACGAUCCCUAGCUGGUCUGAGAGGAUGACCAGCCACACUGGAACUGAGACACGGUCCAGACUCCUACGGGAGGCAGCAGUGGGGAAUAUUGCACAAUGGGCGCAAGCCUGAUGCAGCCAUGCCGCGUGUGUGAAGAAGGCCUUCGGGUUGUAAAGCACUUUCAGCGAGGAGGAAGGUGGUGAGCUUAAUACGUUCAUCAAUUGACGUUACUCGCAGAAGAAGCACCGGCUAACUCCGUGCCAGCAGCCGCGGUAAUACGGAGGGUGCAAGCGUUAAUCGGAAUUACUGGGCGUAAAGCGCACGCAGGCGGUUUGUUAAGUCAGAUGUGAAAUCCCCGGGCUCAACCUGGGAACUGCAUUUGAAACUGGCAAGCUAGAGUCUCGUAA